CCCGCUGAACUUAAGCAUAUCAAUAAGCGGAGGAAAAGAAACUAACAAGGAUUCCCCUAGUAACUGCGAGUGAAGCGGGAAAAGCUCAAAUUUAAAAUCUGGCGGUCCUCUGGGCCGUCCGAGUUGUAAUCUGGAGAAGCGUUUUCCGCGUCGGACCGUGUACAAGUCUUCUGGAACGGAGCGUCAUAGAGGGUGAGAAUCCCGUCUCUGACACGGACCGCCGAUGCUUUAUGUGAUACGCUCUCGAAGAGUCGAGUUGUUUGGGAAUGCAGCUCAAAAUGGGUGGUAAAUUCCAUCUAAAGCUAAAUAUUGGCGAGAGACCGAUAGCGAACAAGUACCGUGAGGGAAAGAUGAAAAGAACUUUGGAAAGAGAGUUAAACAGUAUGUGAAAUUGCUGAAAGGGGAACGCUUGAAGUCAGUCACGUUGACUCGGAAUCAGCUCUGCUUUUGCUGGGUGUACUUUCUUGUCAAUGGGUCAGCAUCAAUUUUGACCAUUGGAUAAAGUUGCUGGGAAUGUAGCAUCCUUUUGGAUGUGUUAUAGCCUGGUGAUGCAUACAGUGGUUGGGAUUGAGGAAUUCAGCACGCCACCAGGCCGGGUUUUGACCACGUUCGUGCUUAGGAUGCUGGCAUAAUGGCUUUAAUUGACCCGUCUUGAAACACGG
rnacentral:rRNA from 1 species